rnacentral:rRNA from 2 species
GGGAAGAGCAGUAGGGAAUCUUCCACAAUGGACGAAAGUCUGAUGGAGCAACGCCGCGUGAGUGAUGAAGGUUUUCGGAUCGUAAAACUCUGUUGUUAAAGAAGAACAAGUGUUAGAGUAACUGUUAACACUUUGACGGUAUUUAACCAGAAAGCCACGGCUAACUACGUGCCAGCAGCCGCGGUAAUACGUAGGUGGCAAGCGUUGUCCGGAUUUAUUGGGCGUAAAGCGAGCGCAGGCGGUUUUGUAAGUCUGCUGUGAAAGCCCUCAGCUCAACUGAGGAAGUGCAGUGGAAACUACAAAACUUGAGUACAGAAGAGGAAAGUGGAACUCCAUGUGUAGCGGUGAAAUGCGUAGAUAUAUGGAAGAACACCAGUGGCGAAGGCGGCUUUCUGGUCUGUUACUGACGCUGAGGCUCGAAAGCAUGGGUAGCGAACAGGAUUAGAUACCCUGGUAGUCCAUGCCGUAAACGAUGAAUACUAGGUGUUGGAGGGUUUCCGCCCUUCAGUGCCGCAGCUAACGCAUUAAGUAUCCGCCUGGG